rnacentral:lncRNA from 1 species
ACGCACACACACAAAGACGCGCGCCUCUCUCUCUCUCUCUCUCUCGNCACACACACAACAACGACGCGCGUCCUCUCUCUCUCUCUCUCUCUCUCUCUCUCUCUCUCGUUCGGCAUCGCGCCGCCGCCCGCUCCGCCUGCAGUCGCCCAGUGAAGCCGCCGCCGUCUGGAGCUGCUGCUGCUUCGCCUGAGAUCGACGGAUCUGACCUCCAGCAGUCCGCCUCGCUCGGAGCCGUCGCCUCUGUCACCAGCUGGAGCUCUCCUUCGCCUGGAGUCGAGGUCGUCGCUCCUGAAACGCCACCUGCCGCCGCUGCUGCUGCCUGAGGUCGAGGGCCAGCAGCUCGCUGCAGGAGCACCGCCGUCGGCCGCUGCUGUUGGCAGCAAGAACCCGGCAGCCGCCGUUUCUGUGGACAGCAGGCCUCGGUAGUCCCUACUUCCUCCCUCUCGUUUUAUCACUCAAUAGGUUCGUGGAUUUGAAAUAGUUUUCAGAAAACUCAACUUUGUGUUAAAGACUCAAUUUUGGAAUCAAAACUUUUGUUUUCAACUAUGAAUAUAGUAGAGCACAUAUCAGAGAUAGUUCUUAGUCUUUUGUGUAUGUCACUAAUAUCAUGUAAUUCAUGCUCUUUAUGAAAUAUGAAGUCAUGAGUAUAGAGUGUGUGAAACCUUGAAGAUUGGUCUGUGAUUCUUGUUGUUGUUACUGAAUUUGAUUGUUUUGUGUUGGCUGGAAUGAUUAGAGACAAAAGUUAUUGGAUGAAAAGGGUACUUUGUAAGCAAUGCAGAAGAACUGAAAUUAUUCUUACCUCUCUCUGCACUAGUGUGGUUCUCGCUAGAGUCGAAUGCUAAGUGUUAACUGAUAUGCAACGGAAAUUAUGAAGGUUGAAAUUCUUGUAUGGGUUGGAGAGGGUUUACUGUGGAUGUUUUGCAGCCUUUGAAAAAUAUGGAAUGAUCCCUUUAGAAAAAGUAUGCUGGUUAUGAAAAGUAAGAUUUGCUACAGGGAGAAAUCUGCAACCUUUAGAAAAAAAUUUGGAGUAAUGAUGUGUUGGAGGGGA